rnacentral:rRNA from 1 species
UGGAAUCGCUAGUAAUCGCGGAUCAGAAUGCCGCGGUGAAUACGUUCCCGGGUCUUGUACACACCGCCCGUCACACCAUGGGAGUCGGAAAUGCCCGAAGUNUGUGACCCAACCUUAGGGAGGGAGCAGCCGAAGGCAGGUCGGAUGACUGGGGUGAAGUCGUAACAAGGUAAC